rnacentral:sRNA from 1 species
AAAGACUCCUAACUAGACAGGCCGAUCCUCCCCAGCGGCACUCCCUUUCAUUCUUCCCUUCCCACCACACACACACACACCACACACCCCGGACCCAGACAGCCCACUCCACUUUCCAGACGCCCACCUCCUACAUACUCCCCUCCCCUAAACAGACAUUCACCCACUCGCCAUCUGUAGCCUCCUUCCAACCCCCCGCCCCGCCUGCCUGGCUCCCCCUUCCCAAGAAGCAGACCUGCACUGUGGGACGCAGGGACCCCCGCCAGAAGCUCGGGUCGUGCGCGCCCCUGGGCCGGGCCGGGCGGGGACUACUCCGGAGUCAGGAGGCAGCAGCGGCGGAGGACGCGGAUCCCUGGCAGUCAGCGCCGCUCGGACGCUGCCGGCACCAUGGGCUGCUGCACCGGACGCUGCUCGCUCAUCUGCCUCUGCGCGCUGCAGUUGGUCUCAGCAUUAGAGAGGCAGAUCUUUGACUUCCUUGGUUUCCAGUGGGCGCCUAUUCUUGGAAAUUUUCUACACAUAAUAGUUGUCAUAUUGGGUUUGUUUGGGACCAUUCAGUACAGACCUCGAUACAUAAUGGUGUAUACAGUGUGGACUGCCCUCUGGGUCACCUGGAAUGUGUUCAUUAUCUGCUUUUAUUUGGAAGUAGGUGGACUCUCAAAGGACACCGAUCUAAUGACAUUCAAUAUCUCUGUACAUCGGUCAUGGUGGAGAGAACAUGGGCCUGGUUGUGUCAGAAAAGUACUGCCUCCCUCAGCCCAUGGCAUGAUGGAUGAUUACACGUACGUCUCUGUCACAGGCUGCAUCGUUGACUUCCAGUACCUGGAGGUCAUCCACAGUGCUGUCCAAAUACUACUCUCUUUGGUGGGUUUUGUGUAUGCCUGUUAUGUGAUCAGUAUUUCCAUGGAAGAAGAAGACACAUUUGAUUUCAUAGGUGGACUUGAUACACACUCCUACUACCAGGAUCAUGUUGAGUUAAAGCCUGUUAAACCAGUCGAAAUAAGUAAUGACACUGAACCAGAAAUGCGGCUGCUGAACUUGACUUAGGGAGCAAAGGACCAUUGACUGCGCGCCUCGGUGGAUCCGACCCGCCUGACGUUCCUUCCAGAGGCUGGACUGUGCUUCCUGGCUUUCCCACGAAUCACGGAGCAUUUUGGUCACAUCCUUUGUAUUAUUAGCAUUGUUCUCUAGAUGAGUUCUAGGUGCUCGGGUAGGUAUUUUUUUAGUCGUUUUCUUCUUAUAUGAACACUUGUAAAUUGUAAAAAAAAA